rnacentral:rRNA from 1 species
UGGGGAAUAUUGGUCAAUGGGGGAAACCCUGAACCAGCAACGCCGCGUGAAGGAAGAAGGCUUUCGGGUUGUAAACUUCUUUUACCAGGGACGAAAGAAAUGACGGUACCUGGAGAAUAAGCUCCGGCUAACUACGUGCCAGCAGCCGCGGUAAUACGUAGGGAGCUAGCGUUAUCCGGAUUUACUGGGUGUAAAGGGCGCGUAGGCGGGAGAGCAAGUCAGAUGUGAAAUACCGGGGCUCAACCCCGGGGCUGCAUUUGAAACUGUUUUUCUUGAGUGAUGGAGAGGCAAGUGGAAUUCCUAGUGUAGCGGUGAAAUGCGUAGAUAUUAGGAGGAACACCAGUGGCGAAGGCGACUUGCUGGACAUUAACUGACGCUGAGGCGCGAAAGCGUGGGGAGCAAACAGG